rnacentral:sRNA from 1 species
GGAUGUGAGGGUGAUCUGGCUGUGGCAUCUAUCAUGAUAUUGAUUGGUUGAUUCAGCUGAUCUGUUUGUCUAGGCAGGUGUGCCUUUCCUCCUUCACCAAUCCAUAUAUAUUUUUCCUGAAGCUGCAUGCUCAAAGAGGAAGACCUUCCCCAAAUAAAGAAGGAUGGUUUUUGGUAAAGGGUAUGUGAGUGGUUGGAUUCCCCUGAAAGAACUUCCAAACAAACUCUCAACAGAAUUGGCAUUCUUAUUAGAUGGUGUCUUUAG